rnacentral:lncRNA from 1 species
AUUAUGCUCUCAAAUCAUUGCAGCCUUGUAUAAGCAAGUGUGUGACUUUUUCCUCCAGGGAGGUCACUCAGAGGCAAUGGCAAAGGGAGGCUCUGGGGCCCAGCACACUUCCUGCCUGGCUGCCUGAGUUCAUCCCCUCAGCGUCCUCUGCUAUGCUGUGUCAGCAGGUUUGAUAAAAUCGCCACCCUACAGAUCUCCCCAACCCUGUCCUUGCAUUCCUCAACACCAUCCUUUCAGAGCUGCCGGAGUGGCCUGCACAGAGGGGACCAUGACAGUGAUGGCUUAGAAAGUUUCUGUGGCCUCCCUCCACUUGUCAAGAAAGACAAGCCCCUCAAAAGGCCUGCCUGGGCUUCACUCAGGCUUCUUGUCUUCCCUUUGCCCCAGGAUCCUGUAGGGGCUCACACUCAGCAAAGCUGGAGACGUGUCUCCCCAUAAAUACCAAGCACAAGCUGGAGGCCUGUGUGCAAGAUGUGAGUUUACCCAACUCCGAUCCAACAGCUGGUCACAAGCUAGCGAGAAGAGGAAAAGAAAGCAGAUCUGUGCCAAAUUCAAGCCUUAAUUUCUCAGCUCUCUUAGAAAUCAUAUUUAUUUCCUGGUUUCCAGAAGCUGGGAGUCACUAUGUCAGUGGAGUCAUUUACUUACCUAUCCAAGCCCUGGAGGACAAGCCUGAGGCUGGGCAAGCUGGUGGCAGUGUGGCUGCAGCUCAUCAGACAAGCCACCAGGUGCCAUUCAAACAGAGUUGGGGUGGCUGAGGAUGGAGGUCUUUAUGUGUCAGAUUUACUAUAAAUGUAAAAAAAACCCACUAAUGUAAAGUAUUAACUUA